rnacentral:tRNA from 1 species
GGACUGUUAGCUUAGCGGUAGAGCAUUCGGCUGUUAACCGAAAGGUCAUAGGUUCGAACCCUAUACAGUCCU